rnacentral:lncRNA from 1 species
GGAAUGGGGAAGCAGGAUACAGCUGCUUUGUCGGGGCGCUGAGCUGAGCAUCUUUUGUUACUCUGUAAGCAACGUCUGCUUCUUUUGAAGAUCUUCUGCUUGUGCAAAACCCUGUUGUUCUUGUGAUACCAUCAGGUAAAUUGUGAAAAUCUAAUACCUUCAAGAGGUCUGCAGGUUCAGCUGCCCGGCCCAGGGCCGCGGCGCCCAGCAGCACCAGCGCGACGUGCAGCUGCCAGUUCCGUAUCCAACUGCGCCUUUUCCAUCGCGUGUGCGUAUCCAUGGUCCACAAAAAAACGGGGCACCAACUCGGGACAAUUUGAGGGGAAGCAAACAAACAAACAAAAAAAAGCAGCGAAGAAAAGUCGCUCGGGGUUUCUUCUCUUUCUCUUCUCCCCCCC